ensembl:lncRNA APPAT atherosclerotic plaque pathogenesis associated transcript
ACCCAAAGCAGUGCUUCACUACAGUGGCAGACAGACCUGAAAAUUUUCAUCUGAAGCAGCAGAGUGAACUGCAGAGGCAGGUCACCAACCAGUGUGGAGGCUAAAAGCGGGCCUCUUUGGGGAUUCCAGGUGGAAGUGUUGGACAUCUGUAGUAUUCCUGGUCUCGAAUCAUCCUGAUAUUCUUCAUUUUGUUAUUCACAUUGGACUAGGGUGAGGAAAUGAGUUCUGGUCAGAGUCAAUGUUUCCUAACAAUGUUGAUUUAUUUGGUCCUAAAUAUUUAAACACAUUUUAUAAAUAGCUUUUCCACACCACAUAUAUAGGGAAAAACAGGGAGUUAACUUGGCCCAGCAGCACUGUUUGUGGGGCUAACACCCUGUCUGUGUAUCUCACACCAACCCUAAGCUUUGUUUCUCUCCUGUCACUUUGCUCCUAUUUCUUUCAUGUGAAAGAAUGUUCAUUUUCUUUGAAAAUGAGCUCAUUUCCUCAUUUUCUUUCCAUAUUUCAGCAGGAACAAAGAUCACCACAACUGGCUCCCCUUCAACUAUGUUAGAUGGCAACUUGCCUUCAGUAUGGUGAAACACAUCAGUUAAGACCGGGGUUGUGCAUGGCAGGACUUUCUACAAGGACACCCAGUCUCCUUAAUAAACAUGAGAUGCUCUCUUUCCAGAA